AGGCCUACACAUGCAGUCGAGCGAGACCUUCGGGUCUAGCGGCGGACGGGUUAGUAACGCGUGGGAAUAUACCCUUCACUACGGAAUAGCCUCGGGAAACUGGGAGUAAUACCGUAUACGCCCUUUGGGGGAAAGAUUUAUCGGUGAAGGAUUAGCCCGCGUCUGAUUAGAUAGUUGGUGGGGUAAUGGCCUACCAAGUCUACGAUCAGUAGCUGGUUUGAGAGGAUGAUCAGCAACACUGGGACUGAGACACGGCCCAGACUCCUACGGGAGGCAGCAGUGGGGAAUCUUAGACAAUGGGCGCAAGCCUGAUCUAGCCAUGCCGCGUGAGUGACGAAGGCCUUAGGGUCGUAAAGCUCUUUCGCCAGAGAUGAUAAUGACAGUAUCUGGUAAAGAAACCCCGGCUAACUCCGUGCCAGCAGCCGCGGUAAUACGGAGGGGGUUAGCGUUGUUCGGAAUUACUGGGCGUAAAGCGCACGUAGGCGGAUUGGAAAGUAUGGGGUGAAAUCCCAGGGCUCAACCCUGGAACUGCCUUGUAAACUCCCAGUCUAGAGUUCGAGAGAGGUGAGUGGAAUUCCAAGUGUAGAGGUGAAAUUCGUAGAUAUUUGGAGGAACACCAGUGGCGAAG
rnacentral:rRNA from 1 species